AACGCACAUUGCGCCCCUUGGUAUUCCGGGGGGCAUGCCUGUUCGAGCGUCAUUUCAACCCUCAAGCACUGCUUGGUAUUUGGGCCCCGCCGGCAACGGCAGGCCCUAAAAUCAGUGGCGGCGCCGCUGGGCCCUGAGCGUAGUAAUUCUCUCGCUACAGGGUCCCCGCGUGCUCCCGCCAGCAACCCCAAUUUUCUAUGGUUGACCUCGGAUCAGGUAGGGAUACCCGCUGAACUUAA
rnacentral:misc_RNA from 1 species